GUGGGGAAUAUUGGACAAUGGGCGAAAGUCUGAUCCAGCCAUGCCGCGUGUGUGAAGAAGGUCUUCGGAUUGUAAAGCACUUUAAGUUGGGAGGAAGGGCAGUAAGUUAAUACCUUGCUGUUUUGACGUUACCGACAGAAUAAGCACCGGCUAACUUCGUGCCAGCAGCCGCGGUAAUACGAAGGGUGCAAGCGUUAAUCGGAAUUACUGGGCGUACAGCGCGCGUAGGUGGUUUUGUAAGUUGGAGGUGAAAUCCCCGGGCUCAACCUGGGAACUGCCUCCAAAACUGCAUGACUAGAGUACGGUAGAGGGUAGUGGAAUUUCCUGUGGAGCGGUGAAAUGCGUAGAUAUAGGAAGGAACACCAGUGGCGAAGGCGACUACCUGGACUGAUACUGACACUGAGGUGCGAAAGCGUGGCGAGCAAACAGGAUUAGAUACCCGAGUAGUCC
rnacentral:rRNA from 1 species